GACGAACCGUGCGAACGUUGUUCGGAAUCACUGGGCUUAAAGGGCGCGUAGGCGGCUUGCCAAGUCAGGGGUGAAAUCUUUCGGCUUAACCGGAAAACAGCCUCUGAUACUGGCGAACUAGAGGGAGGUAGGGGUGCGUGGAACUUCUGGUGGAGCGGUGAAAUGCGUAGAUAUCAGAAGGAACGCCGGUGGCGAAAGCGACGCACUGGAUCUCUACUGACGCUGAGGCGCGAAAGCCAGGGGAGCGAACGGG
rnacentral:rRNA from 1 species